GUGCUCGCUUCAGCAGCACAUAAUACUAAAAUUGGAACGAUACAGAGAGAUUAGCAUGGCCCCUGCGCAAGGAUGACACGCAAAUUCGUGAAGCAUGUCAUAUUUUU
rnacentral:snRNA from 1 species